CGUCGCGAGGCGGAAUCUGAAGGAAGCCGGAUGUGGGAGAAGACUAACCACGGGCAAACCUCUGGCCUGACGAACAGAAACCACAUAGAAGGUCGCUUAUGAGGGUAAGACUGCUGAACAAGUCGAAGCCCAAUAGCUACACGGAAUCAUGAGCGAUAAAUGUGGCAGGUAGAUGGAGGGAAAGAAAC
rnacentral:ncRNA from 1 species